AUUGAACGCUGGCGGCAGGCCUAACACAUGCAAGUCGAACGAGUGGCGGACGGGUGAGUAAUGUCUGGGAAACUGCCUGAUGGAGGGGGAUAACGACUGGAAACGGUAGCUAAUAGCGCAUACCAUCAGAUGUGCCCAGAUGGGAUUAGCUAGUAGGUGGGGGAAUGGCUCACCUAGGCGACGAUCCCUAGCUGGUCUGAGAGGAUGACCCGCCACACGUGAACUUAGACACGGUCCAGACUCCUACGGGAGGCAGAAGUGGGGAAGAUUGAACAAUGGGCGCAAGCCUGAUGCAGCCAUGCCGCGUGUGUGAAGAAGGCCUUCGGGUUUUAAAGCACUUUCAGCGAGGAGGCGUUACUCGCAGAAGAAGCACCGGCUAACUCCGUGCCAGCAGCCGCGGUAAUAC
rnacentral:rRNA from 1 species